CAAAAAAACAUUGGCAGUACUGGUUUUUAGGCGAUACACUAUCGUCAGCACACCUUUUUAGACGAUCGACAGGGCAGGAGUUACAACGUCCUUGGGCUGAAGUGAGUAAGCACCCUAACACAACUUUUAACUGGCUUUCUGCUAGCACUAGGCUAAUGCAGAUCACCUGUUAGAACGACUCACACGCACACCCUCAACAAGUGGCCGAGAGCGGCGACGCGGUUCCCUGUCACUUGUCCUAGGGCGGCAGGUGAAGGCGGUGAACGCCCAUCCACACCCAUCGGCCGGCCACGGCAGAGGCGGCAAACAGCCCCGGGACGCUCCGUUAUCCUCACCCUCCCGGACCCGCCAGAAUUCAGAAAUGACAUGGGCUUUGGCUGCAGACACCUGGAUGUGGGAUGGAUGAGCAGUUCUUUCCUAAUGCAUGGAGCAGUUCUUCGAGGGGCCUGUCACCAAGGCUGGCUUCAUGGGGCCACCAGAAAGGACAGUUAA
rnacentral:lncRNA from 1 species